rnacentral:rRNA from 1 species
UGGGGAAUAUUGCGCAAUGGGGGGAACCCUGACGCAGCCAUGCCGCGUGAAUGAAGAAGGCCUUAGGGUUGUAAAGUUCUUUCGGUAUUGAGGAAGGUUGAUGUGUUAAUAGCACAUCAAAUUGACGUUAAAUACAGAAGAAGCACCGGCUAACUCCGUGCCAGCAGCCGCGGUAAUACGGAGGGUGCGAGCGUUAAUCGGAAUAACUGGGCGUAAAGGGCACGCAGGCGGUUAUUUAAGUGAGGUGUGAAAGCCCCGGGCUUAACCUGGGAAUUGCAUUUCAGACUGGGUAACUAGAGUACUUUAGGGAGGGGUAGAAUUCCACGUGUAGCGGUGAAAUGCGUAGAGAUGUGGAGGAAUACCGAAGGCGAAGGCAGCCCCUUGGGAAUGUACUGACGCUCAUGUGCGAAAGCGUGGGGAGCACACAGGAUUAGAUACCCUGGUAGUCCACGCUGUAAACGCUGUCGAUUUGGGGGUUGGGGUUUAACUCUGGCGCCCGUAGCUAACGUGAUAAAUCGACCGCCUGGGGAGUACGGCCGCAAGGUUA